rnacentral:lncRNA from 1 species
GCCGAAUGAGAAAAGUGCCUGUUCCUUCGUGGAUUUCGUGACAUUGGAUUUGUGGCUUGGCAGUCCUGGUUCUCAGCUGGGUUCUGGAGAGGCCGGGGUGCCUUCACAGGACACAGGACAUUUGUGGAAACAGAAGGAAGACGGAAGAUUAGACUUCUGGAAGAGUAAGCUGCUCCUAGGUUCGGUAGCCCUAGAUUUCCUCUUUCUUUUCAACAUGUAUUUCUGACCAUUCCAAUGUAAAAUAGCAAUAAAAUUGUACUUUUACAAAUAUGAGACCUCCAAAAGGCAAAACCCCAAGGAAUGUGAAAUUUCACUUUACAGGAGAUUUGUUCAUUACCAGAGUGCUUUUAGAGAUGUAGCACCUUCAGCCACUCACACGCUCCAGCCCUGGAGUCUGUCCCCUCCCUUCGGUUCCCACUCCCUUUACUGGGGUUCUGACCUUUACCAUGUGCCAGGCUCUGGGCUGGGUCCUGGGGUAACAAUGGGGAGCACAAUACAGCUGGGACUCUGCCCUCAUGGAGCUCACUGUCCUCGCCGUAGCUCCAUCCAGCCACAUCCGACAACGGCUGUUUCAACCAAGCCCUGUUCUCUCUACACCUCCCUGUCCCCCGCCCACGUUCUUUCUCUUUCCACUACCAGGGAUGCCCUUUAUUCCCUUCUCCUGGCGAAUUCCCAGAAAUUCUCCGAUCUCAAGUGGCACCACUUCCAGGAAGUCUUCCAUGGUGUACACAGCAGGGACGGGUGCCCUUCUUCUGCUUUCUCAUAGUGCCCUGCAGAAAUUUAUGUCAUGAACUUUGCCAUUCUGAGUUGUAAUAAUCGCUUUCUAUGUCUGUCUUCCUGCUCCAGCUUGGAGCUUCCCAGAAGGCGUGGACAGUGUCUUAUCCAUGUCUGUGUCCCCAGGGUGUAGCUCAGGACUUGGCACACAGUAGAUGCUCAAUACAAGGAGGCCUUGGCAGAGGUGCCUGAAGACACUGCUGCCCCAAGCCUCAGAUAGAGAACCCGGAAUGAAGGAGCCACUGCUAGGAACGCAGUCUGGUGUGAGGAGAGCAGCUUCUCCUGGGAGGCCUGCCAGGAAAGCCUUUAUAGUUGCCUAAGAAAUCACACACGGGUUUUUCAUCAGGAGCCAGACACCUCACUCAUUCAAAGUCCUGACUGGGCAACGGUCCACUUCCAGCUUCACUUGGUCGUGAUUGGCAGGUUUUGGUUCCUCAAGGGGUGUUGGACCAAGAGCCUCAGAUCCUCACUGGCUGUUGCCCAGGGGCUGCCUUCAGUUCUUUGCUGUAUGGACCUUUCCACGUGGCAGCUUGUUUCAUGAAAGCCUGCAAGCUGAGAAGGCGAUAGAGAGCAUAUGCCAGCAAGAUGGAAACUAAUGUCCAGAGAAUAUCAAGAAACUGAAGCUUCCAGGGCCAACUCCUUGACUUCCUGACGUCAGAGUCUACCUUCCACCGUCAGAGUCUACCUUCCACCGUGGAGAUAAGCAGCCAAGGACACUCAUCUGAGAAAUCCUUUGUCUCCUCCACUGGAAGCAGCUGCAGAC